GCAUUGGUGGUUCAGCGGUAGAAUUCUCGCCUUCCAUGUGGGAGACUUUGGUUUGAUUCCCGGCCAAUGCG
rnacentral:tRNA from 1 species